GACGAACGCUGGCGGCGUGCUUAACACAUGCAAGUCGAACGGUGAACGAGGGAGCUUGCUCCCUCCGGAUCAGUGGCGAACGGGUGAGUAACACGUGAGCAAUCUGCCCCGAACUCUGGGAUAAGCGUUGGAAACGACGUCUAAUACCGGAUACGCCGCGGGAGGGCAUCCUCUCCGCGUGGAAAGAACUUCGGUUCGGGAUGAGCUCGCGGCCUAUCAGCUUGUUGGUGAGGUAACGGCUCACCAAGGCGACGACGGGUAGCCGGCCUGAGAGGGUGACCGGCCACACUGGGACUGAGACACGGCCCAGACUCCUACGGGAGGCAGCAGUGGGGAAUAUUGCACAAUGGGCGCAAGCCUGAUGCAGCAACGCCGCGUGAGGGACGACGGCCUUCGGGUUGUAAACCUCUUUUAGCAGGGAAGAAGCGAAAGUGACGGUACCUGCAGAAAAAGCACCGGCUAACUACGUG
rnacentral:rRNA from 1 species